rnacentral:lncRNA from 1 species
CAAAACAUUUGUAAACUUCUUUAAAAAGUAAAUGUACAUUUAAUAUAACAUAUAUAUCUACGUUUAUGUAAGCCGAUCGUGCAAGGGCUAUAUAGCCAGUCAAGAUCGUUAAAUCUUCCAUUUGUUGUCUGUAGUGAGCAAAGCAUAUUUAUGCCUGCUCUUAAAAACACGUAUUAAAUGUUACCUUUCAAAGGAUUAUUCAUAGCUGAAAGCAAUUACAAUAUGGCCUAUAAAGCCCUAAACGAUAUAAUGGUUUAACCGAAGCCGAGAGAGUUAUUCCUGAAUGUAAAGUAAAUAAAAAAUAUUGUAACAGGAAAUGUUAUUAACAUAAAAUUUCGUGCUUUCUUGCACUGGCUACCGGUUUGGUGAUAUAUCCUCGUUGGCAACCUAAAAAAACGUUGAAAAGAUAAAAACAACACCCAGGAAAGCUGUUCUUUUCCCAGUCUCCCUGUAUAAGGUUGAUGAAUAUGCCAUAUUCCUUCUAAAGACGGCUUAUUUUGGAAGUCAUUGAAUGCUCCAUUUCUUAA